rnacentral:rRNA from 1 species
GACGAACGCUGGCGGCGUGCUUAAUACAUGCAAGUCAACUGACGCAGUGGUAGCAAUAUCGCUGUGGAGGUGGCGCACGGGUGAGUAACACGUAGGUAAUCUGCCUUCAGGUUUGGCAUAACUCCGGGAAACCGGGGCUAAUAGCAGAUGAUGCAGCGGCUCGACAUCGAGACAGUUGUUAAAGCGAUGGCGCCUGAAGAUGAGCCUGCGUCUGAUUAGCUAGUUGGCGGGGUAACGGCCCACCACGGCAGCGAUCAGUAGCUGGUCUGAGAGGAUGAUCAGCCACACUGGAACUGAGACACGGUCCAGAGUCCGACGCGAUGCAGCAGUAAGGACUAUUGCUCAAUGCGAGAUAUCCUGAAGCAGCGUCGCCGCGUGAGGGACGAAGGGCUUUAGCUUGUAAUGCUCUGUAGUGAGAGAAAAAGGUCCCUAUCUUGGGGACAUGAUGGUACCUCAAAAGUAAGCCCCGGCUAACUACGUG